rnacentral:rRNA from 1 species
UCCCAGACUCCUACGGGAGGCAGCAGUAGGGAAUCUUUCACAAUGGGCGAAAGCCUGAUGGAGCAACGCCGCGUGCAGGAUGAAGACCUUCGGGUUGUAAACUGCUUUUAUAAGCGAGAAAUAUGAUGGUAACUUAUGAAUAAGGAUCGGCUAACUACGUGCCAGCAGACGCGGUCAUACGUAGGAUCCGAGCAUUAUCCGGAUUUAUUGGGUUUAAAGGGUGCGCAGGCGGAUUUUUAAGUCAGCGGGCAAAUCGUGGGGCUCAACCCCAGCCAGCCGUUGAAACUGGGGAUCUAGAGUGUGCGAGAGGUAUGCGGAAUGCGUGGUGUAGCGGUGAAAUGCAUAGAUAUCACGCCGAACCCCGAUUGCGAAGGCAGCAUACCGGUGCACAACUGACGCUCAGGCACGAAAGCGUGGGUAUCGAACAGGAUUAGAUACCCCCGUACG